GGACCAGGAGCUCAGUGGGUGACGGGUAGGCGGCCCGCCCCGCGUGCGCAUGCGCGCUUACUCGCGGGGAGGCGCGCUCGAGGUGUGCGUGCAGCGGCCCCGUGCUCCCUGGAGGGGGCGUGUCCUUUCGCCGCCAGCUGGGUCCCGGAGGGUCUACGUCCGCAAGCGUCUGGGAUCGCGUGGCUGUGAGGAGGGGAGGUUCGCACCGUGCGGCGGGCUCCACCUACCUGCAGACAGAUGGAGGGUCACUUUGUUCGGAGGAAACUCAGGCACCCGAGGGAGGAUGUGAAACGGAACAACCCGUUUCUGUGCGGUUGGCUUUGUUUAUUUGCCUCCUCACUAGAGGCCUCCUACCCCUGACGCCACCGACCCCGAGAGGAGGCGAUCAGCUGCUAUGGCCGUUGCGGCCAGACGGGGUCGCCCGCCCCGUUCCGCACAGGCAGGCCCUGCGGCGCACCAUGGCCUGCGAUUGCCCGACCUGGUUGCACGCAUUCCUGUUUCACGGGAAACAUUCUCAGCAUUGCAGAAGGGAAACCUAGCUUUGGGUUUUGACAGUAGAAGCACGUAUAUGUGUCUUAAAGGCCACAAACACGGUAGAGACUUGUUUAUUCAUUCAACAAAUUUGUCGAGUGCCUAUUGCAUGCCGGGUGAACUGUAGGCUUAGACUACAGCCCUGAUCAGCCAAGACACCUUGCCUGUCCUCAUGGAGCUUUCGGAGCACCAUGUACUCACCUCUAAAAUACACACCACCUGUGAAUUUUCCAUACUUUCUGGAUUGUAAAAUGCCCUGGAUGAAUAUUAACAUGAAGAUGGAGAUGGAACCUCAUGACAAGAAUGAAGGUGAACAUGAUGUGGAAAAUAUGAAGUCUAUGCUAAGGAUCCUGGAGCAGAAUGAGAGGAGAAGCCUGGGUCAUUCAGGCUGCAACAGCCCUAGAGUGGCUACCCGUGGACUUAGUAAGUCUGAAAAAUAAACCCCAAUUUGGUUAAACUGUUUUCUGUUAUGUGUAGCUAAACAUAUUCUUGGCUAAUACAUAAACUGUCAUAAGUUAUCUUCUAACUAGUCUUCCUGCUUGCAGGCUCUACCAGUUAGACAGCAGCAGCAUGAUCUAGUAUGUCAGAAAUAUAAGAGCUAUCACAAAGCAAUACAUCAACUCCUAUAGCAUUUGCUGCCAAUUCCAGAUAUGCCAAAUUAUAUGAUUAAGAAAUACAUGUUUAUUAAAGAAAAAAUAGAAAGUAGAGAGGAGACAUAAGACUACCCAUAGUUGAAACUUCUCAAGUCCCAUUUUAACAUUUUCCUAUAGUUAUGCUGUCUUAUUUUAUUCACAGGUUUUUCACAAUAACAUUACAGUGUAUUCCUAUUUUACCUAACACUAUAUUAUAAGCAGUUUUCCAUGUUAACACAUGGAAACAAAUAGCUUUUAAACAAAUAGCUGUUUAACAUUCCAAGUAACUAUAAUAAGUUUUACCUAACUCGUUUCUUGUCACUGAACUUAAUUCACUUUUUAAAAAAAUCAUUCAUUCACUGAGUAUCUACUACAUUCAAGUCACUGGAUUAAAUAUUAUCCAGUAAGAAGUGGCUCCUAUUUGAACGCUCUUCACAACUACAAAAGACAAAACAUAACAUUCGACAUAUAUAGCAUAUGCAUGUGCACACUUUCUGUAUGUGGCCCUAAGCCAUUUAAUUGCUUUUAAAUAUGCUUAUAGGAUUGAAAUAUUCUAAUUACCUUUCCAUGUACUCCUUUUAUUGAUCAUUUCUGUUAUCCUUGUCUGCUGGAUUUGCUUUAGCGUGACUGAUCAGUGCAGUAUAGCACUUCCAAUGAACAACUUAUGUAAAAGCUGAGACCACCUGAAAUUUCAAGUGACCAAAGACCUCCUGUUUUCAUUUUUAUUAACAGAAUACGUGCUUCAAAGUGUUAAUAACUCUUUCUUCCUUUCUGUUUUCACAAUUAUCAGUAAUACUUAAUUCCCCAACAACCUUCUGGUGGAAAGAUAAUCAUUUCUGGUUACCACACCAAGAAGGAAACUGACUAGCAUGACUCAGAGAGUCAUUAAAGACCUGAGAUUUGAAAGGAGAGGCCUUGGCUCUUAGCAAUGCUGUUCUGAGAACACAGCCAAUUUGCAUAAAUGGCAGAUUGACAAUUCCUUAUCUGUGAGUGCUAAGUCCAAGCUAUAAUUUUUUCUAUGUACAUAAGGAAAACUGAUUUUCUAACUCAAAGUGCAUGUAUGUACUGUAUUCAAAGUGAAAGAAAAGACGAAUUGAUAUUAUGCAACUGAAUUACUGAUGUUUUAAAACAUAAAACCUAUUAUUGAAAA